rfam:Hydrogenophilaceae bacterium CG1_02_62_390 cg_0.2_sub10_scaffold_156_c, whole genome shotgun sequence.
GCCCAGAUGGCGGAAUUGGUAGACGCACUAGGUUCAGGUCCUAGCGCCGGCAACGGUGUGGAGGUUCGAGUCCUCUUCUGGGCA